rnacentral:rRNA from 1 species
GGGGAACCCACCGGUCGUGAUGGGCCGGUACCGCUAUCUGAAUGUAUAGGAUAGACGGAGGGAACCUGGGGAACUGAAACAUCUCAGUACCUGGAGGAGAAGAAAACAAGAGUGAUUCCGCAAGUAGUGGCGAGCGAACGCGGAAGAGCCUAAACCAUGAUGGUGGAGAAGGGGACCCCCGUUGCCAUCAUGGGGUAGAGGGGAUGCGCAGCCAGGCAGGGUCUUGCCUGGGCCGAAGGAGACAAGGGAGCCAAACGACAUGGGAAGGUCGGCCAGAGCGGGUGAGAGCCCCGUAGGCGAAGCUUGUCGAGGGAGGUAGCGCAGGCCCCAAGUACCGCGGGACACGAGGAACCCCGUGGGAAUCCGGGAGGACCACCUCCUAAGGCUAAAUACUCCCUGGCAACCGAUAGCGGAGAGUACCGUGAGGGAAAGGUGAAAAGAACCGCGGGAGCGGAGUGAAAGAGAACCUGAAACCGUGUGCUUACAAGCAGUCGGAGUCCGAAAGGAUGACGGCGUGCCUUUUGUAGAAUGAACCGGCGAGUGAUGGUGAUNAGCGAGGUUAAGGCAGGGAAGCCGGAGCCGAAGCGAAAGCGAGUCUGAAGAGGGCGAGAAGUUGAUUGCCAUCGACCCGAAACCGGGUGAGCUACCCCUGGUCAGGGUGAAGUGCGGGUAACACCGCAUGGAGGCCCGAACCCACCGGCGUUGAAAAGCCGGGGGAUGAACUGGGGGUAGGGGAGAAAUUCCAAUCGAACCCGGAGAUAGCUGGUUCUCCCCGAAAUAGCUUUAGGGCUAGCGUCACGGAUGAGGGACGGAGGUAGAGCACCGAUGGGGUGCGGGGCCCGACCAGGGUUACCAAGCUCCGUCGAACUCCGAAUGCCGUUUCAUUGAACCGUGGCAGUCAGACUGCGAGUGCUAAGAUCCGUAGUCAAGAGGGAAACAGCCCAGACCAACAGCUAAGGUCCCCAAGGGUGGUUAAGUGGGAAACGAUGUGGCGGUGCAUAGACAACCAGGAUGUUGGCUUAGAAGCAGCCAUCAUUGAAAGAGUGCGUAAUAGCUCACUGGUCGAGUGACGCUGCGCGGAAAAUGUAACGGGGCUAAACCACACACCGAAGCUAUGGCUGUGGGAAGACCACAGGGUAGGGGAGCGUUCCAUAAGCGGAGAAGCCUUCUUGAGAGGGAAGGUGGAGGUUAUGGAAGUGAGAAUGCCGGUAUGAGUAGCGAAAAGAGGGGUGAGAAUCCCCUCCGCCGAAAGCCCAAGGUUUCCUGGGGAAGGAUCGUCCACCCAGGGUUAGUCGGGACCUAAGGCGAGGCCGAGAGGCGUAGUCGAAGGAGAACGGGUUGAGAAUCCCGUACCAGAUGGAUUUGCAUGACUGAAGGGGUGACGCAGGAGGCUAGAGCGAGCGGCCGGAUGGAAGAGGCCGUCCAAUCCGCAAGGGGGUCGCGCAGGGAAAACCGCGCGGCGAGAACUCUGAGCGGUGAUGGGGAGGGAAGAAGAGUACCGAAGCGCUCGAGGUCACACUGCCAAGAAAAGCCUCUAGGGAGAAUGCAUCUGCCCGUACCGGAAACCGACACAGGUGGGCGCGUGGAGAACACGGAGGCGCGCGGGAGCACUCUCGUUAAGGAACUCGGCAAAAUGGCCCCGUAACUUNGGGAGAAGGGGCGCUCUGAAGAAGAGCCGCAGUGAAAAGGCCCAAGCGACUGUUUAGCAAAAACACAGGUCUCUGCGAAGCCGAAAGGCGAAGUAUAGGGGCUGACGCNUGCCCGGUGCUGGAAGGUUAAGAGGAGGGGUGAGGGCGAGAGCCCGAAGCUCUGAAUUGAAGCCCCCAGUAAACGGCGGCCGUAACUAUAACGGUCCUAAGGUAGCGAAAUUCCUUGUCAGGUAAGUUCUGACCCGCACGAAAGGCGUAACGACUUGGGCGCUGUCUCAACGAGAGACCCGGUGAAAUUGUAAUACCUGUGAAGAUGCAGGUUACCCGCGGCUAGACGGAAAGACCCCGUGGAGCUUGACUGUAGCUUGAUAUGGGAGACGGGCAUGUCAUGUACAGGAUAGGUGGGAGACACAGAAGCAUGGGCGCCAGCCUGUGUGGAGUCGAUGUUGGGAUACCACCCUUGAGAUGCUAGUCUUCUAACCUGGCACCCUGAAUCGGGUGUGGGGACAGUGUCAGGCGGACAGUUUGACUGGGGCGGUCGCCUCCUAAAAGGUAACGGAGGCGCCCAAAGGUUCCCUCAGCGCGGAUGGAAACCGCGCGGGGCGUGUAAAGGCACAAGGGAGCUUGACUGCGAGACGGACAGGUCGAGCAGGGACGAAAGUCGGGCUUAGUGACCCGGUGGCACUGCGUGGAAGGGCCAUCGCUCAACGGAUAAAAGCUACCCCGGGGAUAACAGGCUGAUCUCCCCCAAGAGUCCACAUCGACGGGGAGGUUUGGCACCUCGAUGUCGGCUCAUCGCAUCCUGGGGCUGAAGUCGGUCCCAAGGGUUGGGCUGUUCGCCCAUGAAAGCGGUACGCGAGCUGGGUUCAGAACGUCGUGAGAC